rfam:Aedes albopictus isolate Foshan contig45044, whole genome shotgun sequence.
UGCUCGGUAGCUUGGUUGGCAAAGCGCUCGUCUAGUGUACAAGAGUCGUACGUUCAAAUCUCACCUAAGCUU